AUGGCAUUAUUCAGUCCAGCCAAGUCAUUUUCUUCUUUUAAUAUUGAUGACCUGGUUAAGCUUGCUGGGUUCUAUCCUCAUGAUUUUGACUUUAAAGAAAUGCACCAACUUCCUUUUCAAUUGAAUCUCUAUAUUAUUGAUGUGAGGAAUGAUGAAAACUUCACAAACUUGAGAAGUCUAGCAGAGUUGUCUAUGAUGCUUCUUAGAACAGGGAGGGCUCUUCGGUAUGAUAUUGUUUACAAACUUCUCAGCUAG
rnacentral:rRNA from 1 species